AAGAGCAAGCGCGGGGUGUGGGCGGCGCGGGGGAUACCGGCGCUAGCGCGCGUGGAGGCGGCACUCGGGAGGCAGCGGAACGGGCUGCAGGCCCUCGAGGGUCCCGCAGGAGUGCGCCGGUGGCUCCUGCGCUAUUGCAGACCAGCAUGGCAUAGUGCCCGCUCAACCCUACUGCCACACAUUGAUCCCUUACUGAUCUGAAGGCCAACUGGGAACUGGUGCACAGGGAGAGGCAGCCCCUCACCCCUGCCCCCAGAAGAUCGGGGCCACAGAGGAGAAUGAGAGGUGGACAUUGGCAGCAAAACCAGGAGAUCUCUCUGGGAGACGGGGACGUGGCUCCCCCAGGAAAAUUCCCAUGGCCUGGGCCACUCCCCCUUCUGCAACAACCCAAGGCUCUUUCCUGGGCCUGCCUACCCACGGUCACCCUGUUUCUGUCCAAGGAGCACACUCAGCAUGGUGACAGACUCAGGCCAGCUGGCUUCCUGGCAGCCUCAGGCCUGUCCAUGUGGCAGGAGGCUGGACAUCUGCAACAGAAACCCACAGUGGGAAGAGGGGCGUCAGGACACCUGGGUGGAAGUGGACCUACAUCCUGCCUGCAGCUCAGGGCACUGUGACCGAUGGCUGGCACACACAGGACUACUUUGGGAGUGGGGCGGGAACAGGAAAGAGACAGUCAGGACCUGUCUUCACGUCCAGCCUACAAGGACUUGUUUCUUCCAACUCUCUAGUGGGUGAUCCUAGCCUGAGUCCCUAUUUCAGCCGUGUUCCCUGAAGCCUUUUUGACCCAGGCAGCAGCUCCUUUAAUAGUAAGAACACCAACGGCCAGAGUUCAAGUUCCUGAGUGGGUAGGCACACUGUAAACUGGGCAUCCACAGAUCAGCCAAGACACUGGCUCCACGUGUGGAGUUAGGAGGCCACGCUUUCCCUGACUCCUUUCAUCCAAAGCCCAUUACAGACCUCAUCUUACACCUUUUCCCAUGA